AAAAGAGGAGGAGGAUGAACUAUGACACCACCCACCUAAUGACUUCAUGCGGACCUGCAGCCAGGAGGGUUUCCUCAAAGAGGAGGCUGCAAAGACAAUGAUUCACAGCAACAAGAUUUUGAUUGUGUAUCGUUCCAUAUAAUACAACGCUUGGAAAACAAAAUGAUCAUCUUAUUCCUCAGCAUUACUUUUAACACAGUUCUGGUUUCAGGUUCCUCUCUCAGUGACAAAGUCUACCAGACUCCAGCUCAUGUGUUCAACGGACCCAAAGAAACAGCCAAAAUCAACUGCUCGCACAGUAUUGACAGCUACAACCGAAUCCUCUGGUACAAGCAAUCAAACGGACAACUGCAGUUCCUGGGAUACAUGUUAGCAACCAGUGGAACCCCAGAGGCUGGCCUGGGUGUGAAGAUAGAAGGGAGUGCAGAUAAAGACCAGACCUGCACAUUAACAAUAGAAGGACUCAGCCUGAGCAGCAGUGCAGUGUACUACUGUGCUGCUAGUUUACACAGUGCUGCAUAUCACUGCUCCUCAGUACAAAAACCUCCUCACAGCUGUGCUCCUUUGUCAGUAUAUCAUUACUCUGAUCUGUGUGCUGAGCCAGUGGUGUGUUAAAGGUAGUCACUGUGAGUUAUAUGCACAAUGACACCACCCACCUAACGACUUGGGAGGGUUUACUCAAAGAGGAGGCUGGAAAUACUCAGCUAGUACGACUGCUUCAUUCAUUGCAACAACAAAUUGGGGAUCGGGUUUUGAUCUAGUUUUUUCAAAACCACCUCACACUCAGAAAAACACAC